UGGGAGAAAGUUGAAGACAAAUAUACAGUGAGUUCACUAGGUGUAGCUGGUUUUGUUGCAUUAUGGGGCUCAGCUGGGGUGAUCUCAGCAAUUGAUAGGAUUCCAUUAGUUCCUGGGGUACUUGAGGUUGUAGGCAUUGACUACACUGGGUGGUUUGCUUACAAGAACCUAGUUUUCAAGCCUGACCGGUAGGCUCAAUAAUUACAGGGAAGCUCUGUUUCGGAAAGUAAAAGAAACAAUUAACGAAAUAACUGGGAGCAGCUGAGAGAGUGAGAAAUUGCUGCUGAUUGAGAUGGUGUUCACAUAAAAAGAGAUCUAAUUGCAGCUUUGUGUUGAAGAUGCCAUGCAACCAUGCUUCAUUUAGUCCAAUAAACUUCUGACCACACUUUAUCCCAUGUAAUUGUAAUCUAGCUUCAUGCAUAUAUAAUCUCCUUCAAUAAAAUGUCAUUUCUUCGAU